rnacentral:rRNA from 1 species
GCAUAUCAAUAAGCGGAGGAAAAGAAACCAACAGGGAUUGCCCCAGUAACGGCGAGUGAAGCGGCAAGAGCUCAAAUUUGAAAUCUGGCCUCCCCCGGGGGCCCGAGUUGUAAUUUGCAGAGGAUGCUUCGGGUGCGGCCGCCGUCUAAGUUCCUUGGAACAGGACGUCAGAGAGGGUGAGAAUCCCGUCUUGGGCGGGCGGUCCGCGCCCGUGUGAAGCUCCUUCGACGAGUCGAGUUGUUUGGGAAUGCAGCUCUAAGCGGGUGGUAAAUUUCAUCUAAAGCUAAAUAUUGGCCGGAGACCGAUAGCGCACAAGUAGAGUGAUCGAAAGGUUAAAAGCACCUUGAAAAGGGAGUUAAACAGCACGUGAAAUUGUUGAAAGGGAAGCGCUUGCGGCCAGACUCGGGGGCGGGGUUCAGCGGGUGCUCGUCGCCCGUGUAUUCCUCGUCUCCCGGGCCAGCAUCAGUUUCGACGGCCGGUCAAAGGCCCCCGGAAUGUGUCGUCUCUCGGGACGUCUUAUAGCCGGGGGUGCAAUGCGGCCCGUCGGGACUGAGGAACGCGCUCCGGCUCGGAUGCUGGCGUAAUGGCCGUAAGCGGCCCGUCUUGAAACACGGACCAAGGAGUCUAACAUCCACGCGAGUGUUCGGGUGUCAAACCCGUGCGCGCAGUGAAAGCGAACGGAGGUGGGAGCCUUAGGGCGCACCAUCGACCGAUCCUGAAGUCUUCGGAUGGAUUUGAGUAGGAGCGUGGCCGUUGGGACCCGAAAGAUGGUGAACUAUGCCUGAAUAGGGUGAAGCCAGAGGAAACUCUGGUGGAGGCUCGCAGCGGUUCUGACGUGCAAAUCGAUCGUCAAAUUUGGGCAUAGGGGGCGAAAGACUAAUCGAACCAUCUAGUAGCUGGUUCCUGCCGAA